UCCGUAGGGGUACCUGCGGAAGGAUCAUUAAAGAGUAAGGGUGCUCAGCGCCCGACCUCCAACCCUUUGUUGUUAAAACUACCUUGUUGCUUUGGCGGGACCGCUCGGUCUCGAGCCGCUGGGGAUUCGUCCCAGGCGAGCGCCCGCCAGAGUUAAACCAAACUCUUGUUAUUUAACCGGUCGUCUGAGUUAAAAUUUUGAAUAAAUCAAAACUUUCAACAACGGAUCUCUUGGUUCUCGCAUCGAUGAAGAACGCAGCGAAAUGCGAUAAGUAAUGUGAAUUGCAGAAUUCAGUGAAUCAUCGAAUCUUUGAACGCACAUUGCGCCCCUUGGUAUUCCGAGGGGCAUGCCUGUUCGAGCGUCAUUACACCACUCAAGCUAUGCUUGGUAUUGGGCGUCGUCCUUAGUUGGGCGCGCCUUAAAGACCUCGGCGAGGCCACUCCGGCUUUAGGCGUAGUAGAAUUUAUUCGAACGUCUGUCAAAGGAGAGGAACUCUGCCGACUGAAACCUUUAUUUUCUAGGUUGACCUCGGAUCAGGUAGGGAUACCCGCUGAACUUAAGCAUAUCAAUAAGCGGAGGA
rnacentral:rRNA from 1 species